AAAAUUUUCUUUAAAUUCCGACGUAAGACCGGCUACAAUAGCUAGAUUUAUAAAUAAAUCUACCUAAAAAUAAAUUUUAAUAAAUAAAUAC